rnacentral:rRNA from 1 species
UACGGGGGGGGCAAGCGUUGUUCGGAAUUACUGGGCGUAAAGGGCUCGUAGGCGGCCAACUAAGUCAGACGUGAAAUCCCUCGGCUUAACCGGGGAACUGCGUCUGAUACUGGAUGGCUUGAGUUUGGGAGAGGGAUGCGGAAUUCCAGGUGUAGCGGUGAAAUGCGUAGAUAUCUGGAGGAACACCGGUGGCGAAGGCGGCGAUCCUGGGAAGUUCCUGACGCUCGGGUGCGAAAGCCAGGGGAGCGAACGGG